rnacentral:lncRNA from 1 species
GCAGAUAUCUUGGCGGCCCCUGCCUCUUCGGUGGCAUCUGAGUCCGCCUUCAGCACAGGGAAGAGAGUCCUCUCAGAUUUUCGAAGUCGAAUGACCCCAACGACACUUGAAGCUCUUGUUUGCCUACAAGAUUGGAUAAGAGCCACAGGUUCAGCCAUACGACACAAUUUUUUUCUUUGUUUCUUAUUAAUGCAAAUUCAUGAAUCUUUUAUAUUUAUUUGUCUGCAGCUAAUACUCGGCUUAGCUUGGCUUCAGUUCAUGACAUUAUACUGGACUUGCAAGGUAUUUGACAUGUCUUUGUCUUAUUAUGCUUCUUAUUGUAAGUGGGGAGGCGAUGGUCGAGCGAGAGAGCUGGGACACUGCUCGCUGCUCUGCUUCUUAUUCUGCUUGCUACCGCUGGGCUUGUUGCUCUGCUUCUUAUUCCUAGUGUUGCAAUCUGUACUGAGAUUAUUGUAGUGUAUUGUUUUGGUGUAUUAUUCCAUCCUAGUGUUGCAAUGUGCUUUGUUUUGUUGUACAUGGAUUAUUGUUUUGUUGUUUUGGUAGAGUAGCCUGAAAAUUGUCAAGAUCAUGGACUGGAAACAUUGUGUAGUUGCUCUGCCUCUCAUAAACUCUAAACUGUAGUUGAUGUUGCAGAUUAUAUAUGGAACUGCUAGUAAUAACUGAAGCAGAUUAUUGCUGUUGCUGGAUAUAUGGAACUGCUAGUAAUAACUGGGCUUGUUGCUGUUGCAGAUUAUGAAUGUGUUUUUCUUUCAAAUAACUGAAGCCAUAAUGCAAAGUUCUAUUGUACUAUACCUGACAAGCAAAACCUACAGGAGUUGACAUGAAUUUGCUUGAUUUCAGUCUUUGUUUUCAAUUUCUGCUCAUAAAUUUGCACAUAAUUACUCUUGUAACUUUUCCUUGUAAAUACAGACAAUGAGGACUGAAGCUUUUUGCCGCAAUUGAUGUUAACCUCCAGUAGAUGAUGAAGCAAAAAGAUGUCAACUUUCUUUAUAAUUUGCUGAAGUUUCGAAAUGUAAUGGCUGCUCCUUGAAAGAUGUAGCUAGAUGCUCAUAAAACCUGUAAUAUCGUCAACAAAUGUGAUUGUCUUGUACUGGCUGUAAAAAGAGUUGAAAUGGACUGAUGCUUGCUUGGUAACUUGUAUUUAUUUCGUAUUAUCAUGCCUGCUUAGGUAAUUAUUUGUUGUCUUGUUAUAAUAUCAGUUAGAAAAUGUUCUCUGUGUAUACCUAGCUAAAAAACUGUGGAACUAUUACUGAUUUUUGGGUCGGCCCUGGUGUUCCCAAUGGGCCAACAAGGCCACACGAUUUUCUUAGAAUGGGUCGACCCAUGGCCCCUGAAAUUGGCUUUGAGGCCACGGGGCCAGGUCCAAGGC